rnacentral:tRNA from 1 species
GUAGUCGUGGCCGAGUGGUUAAGGCGAUGGACAAUAAAUCCAUUGGACUCUGCCCGCGCAGGUUCGAAUCCUGCCGACUAUG